rfam:Richelia intracellularis HM01, WGS project CAIS01000000 data, contig: 02191
UGGUAGAUGCACCCUGAUAACUCAUUCCCCCAGUUGGUUUACUCUAACUGGGGGUUUUUUUG